GCUUAACUUAUUGCACCAGAAUUAAAUUAAUUGAAAAACCUGGAUAUCUGAGACCCUGUUACAGGAAACCUGAUCUGGCUGUGAGCGUGGGGUGUGCAGGGAGCCAAGUGGGGACUUGUCAGGUCACUGGAGGUGCCUCUGUGGCUGGGCUUUGGUCCCAGCAGUGACAGGCUGGGGUGGUGUGAGCGUGGCUGCCAGAGUGGCUCCUGGGUGGUUGCACAGGGUGCCCUGAGCAGUGAUGUUGUACUGUGUCCAAGAAUCCAUGAAAUGUGAGCUGUCUGCAUGUCUUCCUGCUGGCUGCUGCAAAUGUGAAAACCCAGAGGAAGUUCUGUCUUAUCAGAAACACCUGAUCAAAGGGGAGAUUUACCAAAGAAAAACUUGAUUGAAAAGGUCUGGAAUGUUAUAUUGAUUUCACUAUUAUGUGAAAUACAUAGAAAUAGAAAAACUAGACAGAAAAUGCCAGCUGAAGUCUGGAAGCUGACUGGUCCUCCUCUGCCUGAGAAUCUCACCUGGAAGAAAUAUUUUCUGCAGAGACUUACUGCAAAGACCCGGGAAGCAGAUGUGAACCUAUGACAGACUGGCAAAAAAUAAUUUAGUAAUCUGUUUCUGCAAAACUGCUUUCAGGUAGAAGAAUUCUGCAGGCUUUAAAAUGCAAAGCGAGUAUGCACUGUAGAAAAGCAAGUAAAAUAACUGCAGCAGACACUGAAGUUGAGGAGAAACAAGAGAAACUACUUUGGUCAGAGAGUCCUUCUCAGCAGGGCUAUUCCCAGCCUGUGUUGACCCACAGCUUGUCACAGCCAAGGAUUUGACUUCUUUAUCUACCUGGCACCUGGAGACUGAAAUCACCAGUGAACAGAUCAUUUUCUGCUGCUCAUCUUCCAGCAUCACAAAUUCUGGCACAGUGGCCAGGAAUUGGGAUUGCUGUUUUGCCUUUCACAUCUAUUUUAAGUAGUAAAAGAAGGAGCCUGAUCUCUUCUGAGCUAACAAUGUCCUAACUCAGAUCUGUGUAAUCCAUGGGAAAACCACCAUUUGCUGAGUGACUGAAAUAUUGCUUCCAGGGGAAAAAAAAAAAAAAAAAAAAAAAAAAAAAUUGGGAAAAAUCAGUGUUUCUGAUGCUGAAAAUAUCAGAGAAAGAGUUGUUUGGAAGAGAGUAAGAAGACUGAUGAUCACUGCAUAUAAACAAAUGUUUCCUCCACUGAAGGUAGCAUCAUGAUUUCAUCUCACAGUGAUUAUGUGCAGGUUGUUCAAGCUCAGAAUUCACAGAUGAUGUAAAAGCACCUGGAUUCCCCCUGACAGCUACAAGGGUAAUGGAACACCUCCACACAGCACGGGCACCAUCGCUGGCUCUGGGCUUGUGUGGAAAUUCAGCCGCUGCUCCAUCCUAGGAUUCAGAGCUCUCUGGAGCAUCUGCAGGGCUCCCCCUGCCCGUCCAGCUGGGCUGCAGCACUGAGAGAUGGCAGAGAGGCACCAAAAAAAGCAAUUUUCUCUCCUGUGAAGUCCAAGCACUCUUUGGUUGUGUGGGACCUUUGGGAACAUCUGGGAAGCCCUGGCUCAAAGCACAUGGAAAUAAAGGCUCCCUGGAGAUGGAUUAAUUUUGCUCACAGUGAUUAAAAAUCAGGAAAUAGAGGCUAAUCUCUGGAAUCAGAGCAGUAAACAGAGAUCUCUCUUCAUCGGAUCUGGCUGUCAAAACUGGCCGAGUAAUUGGGACAAUUAAGGUGCCCCUGAGAUAUAAUUAUCCUUUAUAAUUUCUCUAUAUGUUUAAGAAAAAUGAUGAUUGGCUCACAAAAACAGGUUCCCCACGGUACAAUGAGAAAGAGGAUACUGGAAAAGAACAGAUCAGCUUUAAUCUCCCCCACUUAAAUAGUCCCUAAAAUAAUUAUAGCCCAAACUCUUCCUUCUGUGCCAGUAACUUACACCACAAAGCAACAUUUUAAGUAUGUGUAGACAAAUAAAUGAGGAUGAUCUCUGUUCAGAGCAUCCUUUGGUGUAUUAGAUCCUGGUAAUGACUCUCAGUUGCUAGUGUGAGGAAGAUAAAUGUGACAGCUGUUUUCCCAUGCCCCACUGACUCACUAUUCAUCUAGUUAAGUACAUAGACAUUCCUCUGAGAUCCUCUCCUGCCUCACAGCUCCUCUGAGGCUGAGCAGCCUUAUUCCCACUGCCACAGAGCAAGAACUGAUUUAGACAAACAGAACAUCUUACCCUCAUUAUCUGGGCAGUUAAUGGGGAGAGGCUGGAUGCUUCCCCCCGUGGCUGCUGGACCAGGACCACUCAUGAGGCACAGGGCAAGAGUGUGGCUGCCAUGAAAUCACCAGCAUUUACAAAAGGGCACAAAAAUGGCCCUUGGCCACAAAUGUUCAGGGUUUCUCAGACAUUUCAUUGUCCAGACCAGAAAUUUUAUUCUUGCUCCCCUGCAUAUCCAUCUGGUUAUGAAUUAUAAAAUUAAAAUUUAAAAGUUUUACUUGGUUUUUUUUACUGUUUAUUGUUUAGGUUGAAUGACAAGCUGCUUGUAAAACAGCAUUCAAAUACCAGUGUACUAACACAGCAGUGCCUUAUCUCCAGAUUUCAAAAUAUAAAUAGAAUACUAAGAAGUUAAUAUUUCCCUCAGACAACUGAAGUUUCUAAAGAAUGCAUGCAUUUAAAGGAUAAACAUGACAGAAAUAGGUGUAUUCAUGAGGAAAGUGUUUAUACCACAUUUAUUUCCCCUCGGCAAGCACAUUGUUUUUCCCACCUCCCCAACUCAGUUGUAUGUAUCUAUAAAUCCACAUUCAUACAAUUACAUUACUGAGGAAAAAGGUGCAGUGGUUAUUUUAAAUCCAUGUCCAUUCAGCCCAAAACCAAUUUUUACACUUGUUUUGCUGUGGCUAUCAAAUAAUGAAAUUCCCGACAUGAAACAAAUUCUCAUUUAAAACACACAGCCCUGCUGAAAAAAUCAGGCUUUAAAGUCAUAAUAAGGUACUAUCCUCUCACAGGGGCUAGAUUAGGAGUCAGCCAUAGAGAAAUCAGAAUUUGGUGGGAUGGUUAAUUUCAGUCUCCACCCAAAUAUAAUUUGCCUUCUAUAUACCCUAAAUACUGUAAGUGUGCAGAUUAAAGAUUUCAGGAAGAAUUUACUGUAGCUUAGUACCUUGCAUACUCACAUACCUUCAGCAAAGUGUGUGAAUAUACAAUUUACACUGUCCCAGCUGAGUGAGAUGGCAUUUUACAUCUGCUUUGCCUAACUGCAGCACGUUUCAUGAGGCAGUUGAUGAUCCAGCUCCCCAGCACAUCUGUUAUGUUCUAAUGAGCAAGCAGAGCAAGUUUCUUUCACCCUUUUCUCACCUGGAAACUGUGCAGGCUUGGGUGUGCUGACUGAGGUUGAAUGGCAAUUUACUCUACCUGCAGCAGAGACAAAAGCUGUUUCUUGACCACAGAAGAAAGCAAUGUAUUUUAGAUACUGAAGAAGAGUUAUGUCCAGAUUCAUUCACCCAGCCUGAGUUAUAGCAAAUUUUGCUCCACUUGGUUACUUGGGUCUGGAAUCACCAUAUUAAAACCACAAGGCCAAAAGGGGCUGAUCUGAGCCUUUCUCAUGACUUCCAGUCAUUAAGCACAAAAGAGGUCACCCCCAUUUUCCAUGGCAAUUAUGGCCCCAAAACUCCUUGUCACCACCUAUCUACUCACUCCAGAAAGCCUCAUGGGUUUCUUAGGGUUUGUUCUAGAAGACAGAUAAUAUUUUGUGCUGGUCCUUUGUAUUUUCACUUCCUCUGUGAGUUUUCUUAGUGUCUCAUUCACUUGCUGUCCCUGGACUGAACUGUUUACAAAUAUAGAAGGUACAGAAAUGCAGCUGUCUACAUUGGCAGGCAAGGACCACAGAGGGAAAGAGGGCUACUUGUGUAGUCAGCCUGGCUCAGAUGCUGCAAAUUUUGCCUUUCCUUGUCCCCACACUAAAUGUGUGUCAUACAAUUACUAUCUGACUUCACCACUUGCUCACCUGGAUGACACUUUAAAAUGUUAAAGGAGGCUCUGGCUGUGUUCAGUUCCUCUGGAGAAGGCAUUCCCCAGGUAAAUAUGUUCAGCAUAUUUGCCUUGUUCUGAGCCCGUCUUAACUCUCCUAUCACUUUGUCAACAUAAAUACCCUUGGGCAAAUUUGACCCAUUCUGCUGGUAAUGCAAUGACAUUUAAAUUGUAAAAAAUAUAUUAAGCUGCAUCAGAGGACCGUGCUCAUCUUCAUAUAAAAUAUUAACUUUCCAUUUGCCUGUGGGAAAGAAAACACCUCAGAGCAAUUUCUUGGUUCUUGUAGUAAAAUAGCAGCUAAAAAGCUGGAAUGAUAUGUCCCCUGAGAAAUUCUCCAAAUGGCUGAAAGAAAUGUCCCCCAAUGGCCAGCUCCAGUCACAUGAAAAAAAUAUACUGGUGGUACGUGCCCUGUUCACCUGAAUUCUGUUCCAGUUUAUUUUGUACCAUCUUACUGGAGUUUUGUGAGAAUUAUUAUUCAGAGGGGUUUCUAAAGCCUUUCUUAGUAGUUGGCUUUUGUCAGAUGUGAUGUCAGUUGGUACAAGGUGUAAGAAUAUGUUGACAGAGCAAUAUUUUUGAUAUGUUAACAGUUCAGUUUUCAUUAUAUAUAUUAUAUAUUUUAUAUCAGAAUGGAAAGGAUUUGUUCUAUUCCUGUUUACCCUUGGCAGAGGCUGAAGUUGAGCUGAAACAAAAAUUGUAGUUGGUUCUCCUGGUUUAAAAAAAAUAAUG